rnacentral:rRNA from 1 species
UACGAAGGGGGCUAGCGUUGCUCGGAAUUACUGGGCGUAAAGCGCACGUAGGCGGCUUCUUAAGUCGGUGGUGAAAUCCCAGAGCUCAACUCUGGAACUGCCUUUGAUACUGGGUAUCUUGAGUAUGGAAGAGGUAAGUGGAAUUGCGAGUGUGGAGGUGAAAUUCGUAGAUAUUCGCAGGAACACCAGUGGCGAAGGCGGCUUACUGGUCCAUUACUGACGCUGAGGUGCGAAAGCGUGGGGAGCAAACAGG